rnacentral:rRNA from 1 species
UGGGGAAUUUUGGACAAUGGGCGAAAGCCUGAUCCAGCAAUGCCGCGUGUGUGAAGAAGGCCUUCGGGUUGUAAAGCACUUUUGUCCGGAAAGAAAUCCUUGGCUCUAAUACAGUCGGGGGAUGACGGUACCGGAAGAAUAAGCACCGGCUAACUACGUGCCAGCAGCCGCGGUAAUACGUAGGGUGCAAGCGUUAAUCGGAAUUACUGGGCGUAAAGCGUGCGCAGGCGGUUUGCUAAGACCGAUGUGAAAUCCCCGGGCUCAACCUGGGAACUGCAUUGGUGACUGGCAGGCUAGAGUAUGGCAGAGGGGGGUAGAAUUCCACGUGUAGCAGUGAAAAUGCGUAGAGAUGUGGAGGAAUACCGCUGGCGAAGGCAGCCCCCUGGGCCAAUACUGACGCUCAUGCACGAAAGCGUGGGGAGCAAACAGGAUUAGAUACCCUGGUAGUCCACGCCCUAAAACGAUGUCAACUAGUUGUUGGGGAUUCAUUUCCUUAGUAACGUAGCUAACGCGUGAAGUUGACCGCCUGGGGAGUACGGUCGCAAGAUUAAAACUCAAAUGAAUUGACGGGGU